rnacentral:rRNA from 1 species
AGGUGUGUUGAGAAGCAUGCUGGAGGUAUCAGAAGUGCGAAUGCUGACGUGAGUAACGACAAAACGGGUGAAAAACCCGUUCGCCGAAAGACCAAGGGUUCCAGUCCAACGUUAAUCGGGGCUGGGUGAGUCGACCCCUAAGGCGAGGCCGAAAGGCGUAGUCGAUGGGAAAAUGGUUAAUAUUCCAUUACUUCUGUGUAAUGCGAUGAGAGGACGGAGAAGGCUAAAUCAGCCUGGCGUUGGUUGUCCAGGUGAAAGGAUGUAGGCAUGUAUCUUAGGCAAAUCCGGGGUACUCUAUGCUGAGAUCUGAUAGCAAGCUGUACUUGUACAGCGAAGUGGUUGAUGCCAUGCUUCCAGGAAAAGUCUCUAAGCUUCAGUUACACAGGAAUCGUACCCGAAACCGACACAGGUGGUCAGGUCGAGUAGACCAAGGCGCUUGAGAGAACUCUGCUGAAGGAACUAGGCAAAAUGGUACCGUAACUUCGGGAGAAGGUACGCUGUUGUUGGUGAUGGAACUCGCUUCCUGAGCUGACGACAGCCGCAGAAACCAGGCCGCUGCAACUGUUUAUUAAAAACAUAGCACUCUGCAAACACGAAAGUGGACGUAUAGGGUGUGAUGCCUGCCCGGUGCUGGAAGGUUAAUUGAUGGGGUUAGCGUAAGCGAAGCUCUUGAUCGAAGCCCCAGUAAACGGCGGCCGUAACUAUAACGGUCCUAAGGUAGCGAAAUUCCUUGUCGGGUAAGUUCCGACCUGCACGAAUGGCAUAAUGAUGGCGGCGCUGUCUCCAGCAGAGGCUCAGUGAAAUCGAAAUCGCUGUGAAGAUGCAGUGUACCCGCGGCUAGACGGAAAGACCCCGUGAACCUUUACUGCAGCUUGACACUGAACUUUGACCUUACUUGUGUAGGAUAGGUGGGAGGCUUUGAAGCUGGAACGCUAGUUCCAGUGGAGCCGUCCUUGAAAUACCACCCUGGUAAUGUUGAGGUUCUAACUCUGUCCCGUGAUCCGGGACGAGGACCGUGUCUGGUGGGUAGUUUGACUGGGGCGGUCUCCUCCUAAAGAGUAACGGAGGAGUACGAAGGUGCGCUCAGCGUGGUCGGAAAUCACGCGUAGAGUAUAAAGGCAAAAGCGCGCUUAACUGCGAGACCCACAAGUCGAGCAGGUACGAAAGUAGGUCUUAGUGAUCCGGUGGUUCUGUAUGGAAGGGCCAUCGCUCAACGGAUAAAAGGUACUCUGGGGAUAACAGGCUGAUACCGCCCAAGAGUUCAUAUCGACGGCGGUGUUUGGCACCUCGAUGUCGGCUCAUCUCAUCCUGGGGCUGAAGCAGGUCCCAAGGGUAUGGCUGUUCGCCAUUUAAAGAGGUACGCGAGCUGGGUUUAGAACGUCGUGAGACAGUUCGGUCCCUAUCUACCGUGGGCGCUGGAAAUUUGAGAGGAUCUGCUCCUAGUACGAGAGGACCAGAGUGGACGAACCUCUGGUGUACCGGUUGUGACGCCAGUCGCAUCGCCGGGUAGCUAUGUUCGGAAGGGAUAACCGCUGAAAGCAUCUAAGCGGGAAGCCUACCUCAAGAUAAGAUUUCCCUAGGACUUUAUGUCCUCUAAAGAGCCGUUCGAGACUAGGACGUUGAUAGGUUGGAUGUGGAAGCAUAGUGAUAUGUGAAGCUGACCAAUACUAAUUGCUCGUGAGGCUUGACUAU